AUUUCAUUUUCAAUUCGACAAUUCAAUCCAUCCAUCUAAUAUAUGAAGACGAAAAACAAAGUCUCAAAUUGUUCACUCAUCCAUAAUUAUAGCGGAAAAGUGUAAAUUUUGGAACCUACUCACAACGGAACUGAAAUACAGAACAAGGACAUCAAUGAAAAGAAAAAUGAACUGGAAAAUCAAAAACAAAAAAAAAUUUUUUUAGACAUUUUGCCCAAAUUGGAUAAUGUACAAAUGUAUAUGUGAUCAUCACACACACACCAACAUAUGAAAGAUACAGAUAGAUAUAAAGCGUGGAUAAAUAAAUAAAAUGAUGAAUAUUUGGCCCAGAUUCUUUCUUUCAUUCGAAAAUCUUAGCA